rnacentral:rRNA from 1 species
AUACGGAGGGUGCAAGCGUUAAUCGGAAUUACUGGGCGUAAAGGGCGCGUAGGUGGUUUGAUAAGUCAGAUGUGAAAUCCCUGGGCUUAACCUGGGAAUUGCAUUUGAUACUGUCAGACUAGAGUGUGGUAGAGGUAAGCGGAAUUCCCGGUGUAGCGGUGAAAUGCGUAGAUAUCGGGAAGAACAUCAGUGGCGAAGGCGGCUUACUGGAUCAACACUGACACUGAGGCGCGAAAGCGUGGGUAGCAAACAGGAUUAGAAACCCCGGUAGUCC